rnacentral:sRNA from 1 species
UGGAAAAAUGUCAAAAAAAUCACCAACUUUCAAAUUUGGGACGAUUUAAUCUUGAACUUCACAAAAGACAAAUAAUUCGUAAAGUUUUUGUUGACUUUCUAGAUAAAUGACAAAGUUUUUGUUGACUUGCCAUUUGAGUCAUGUCGUUAAAUAGGUUAACAAUUUUUUUUACGAUGUUAAUGUUCCGUUUAUCUGCUCUAUUAAAACAAAACGACAUCGUCUACUUCAACUUCCUUCUUCCGUUUUCUCUUCUUUCGAUUUGAUUUGGGCUGAGAAACAUCGUUCGUCUCCUCGCCAGAUGGGAUUCGAAUCGAUUCCGCUUCUGUAGGAUUUGAGAUAAUGAAAUCAAUUUGGUGAUUUAGGGUUUAAAUUUGUUUCAACAGACAAAACGACGUCAUUUAUCUCUACAAUAAACGACAUCGUUUUGUUCUAAUAGAGCAGAUAAACGGAACAUUAACAUCGUAAAAAAAAUUGUUA